CCUCCGGUUCUUGGCGGGGCCGGGCUGUGUCUGUGCCCGGUUCUGGAUGUGAGGAGGGAGAACAAAGAACCGGGACGAGUCUUCGGUAACCGCGGGUAUAAAGCGGCGUCUGCCCUCCCGGCCCGGGACAUGG